GGCCUGAUAGCUCAACUGGAAGAGUGCUGCACUGGCGUUGCUGGGGUCAGGGUUUGAAUCCCUGUUCAGGCCU
rnacentral:tRNA from 1 species